rnacentral:misc_RNA from 1 species
GAAAUGCGAUACGUAAUGUGAAUUGCAGAAUUCAGUGAAUCAUCGAGUCUUUGAACGCACAUUGCGCCCCCUGGUAUUCCGGGGGGCAUGCCUGUCCGAGCGUCAUUGCUGCCCUCAAGCACGGCUUGUGUGUUGGGCCCCCGUCCCCCCCCCAAGGGGACGGGCCCGAAAGGCAGCGGCGGCACCGUGUCCGGUCCUCGAGCGUAUGGGAAGCAACUUUUUGUCACCCGCUCCUGUAGGUCCGGCCGGCGGCCUGCCCAACCCCAACCUUUUUUUCAACCAGGUUGACCUCGGAUCAGGUAGUGAUACCCGCUGAACUUAAGC